UACGGAGGAUGCGAGCGUUAUCCGGAUUUAUUGGGUUUAAAGGGUGCGUAGGUUGUUUUAUAAGUUAGCGGUGAAAUACCGAUGCUCAACAUCGGGGCUGCCGCUGAUACUGUAGGACUAGAGAUCGGAUGCAGCAGGCGGAAUGUGUAGUGUAGCGGUGAAAUGCAUAGAUAUCACACAGAACACCGAUUGCGAAGGCAGCAUGCCGGCUUCCUACUGACGCUGAAGCACGAAAGCGUGGGGAGCAAACAGG
rnacentral:rRNA from 1 species